GCGUUGGGUGCGGAGCUGCGCGGAUGCCGGGGCCGGGGCCGGGGCCUGACUGCUCCGGGGUCCCGCAGACCCCAAAACCGGGCUGGGGGAGGGUGUCCGGUGCCUUGGGGUGGAGGCUGCAGCCUGGCCGCCCGCUGCUCCCCUCAGGCGCCUCGUCUCGCCGUGUUCCAGCGAGGCUCCUGCAGUUGGGGCCCUGAUGGCGCCUGAGGCCGCUUCUUCUCUUCCCCACGGCUGAGGGAGCGGAGCCUGAGGCGUCAGGAGGUGGCUGUGCCCCGGCUGACUCUUCCCUUGGGCUGCAGGAGGAGGCGGCAGGGGUGGUUCCUGUGUUCUGUGCCCGGCCGGCUGGGCAGCUCCGGGGGAAGGGGUUCGGUCCGGGUGACCCCCAGGAAACCCAGGGUUUAUUUCCCAGCUCCUCCUCUCCAGGCUGGCAGAAGACAAAGGGUGAAGGGAAAAUGAGUUCACCCUGGAAAAACCCGGGAUGAGCAAGCUCCUUGUCUCCUACAUCUGGAAGUGCAACGAAUACCUUUGUGAUGCCACUUUCUGAAGCAGGCUGUGUGAGGUGGCAGCCCAGGAGGUUCUGCAGAGCCCAGCUGGUUUCUGCUGUGUUUAUGUGCCAGCAUGAUGGCAAAGGAGCUUUCUCUCUGGGGCAGAGAGCUGCCAGCAGCACAGAUUGUGCCUUGAAUUUCCAGCUUGUAGCAAGCCUGGCAAAGAAAGGGUUGGCAGUGUCUGUGCCUGAAGAUUCCUAAAGGUCCAUGUGGAGGGGUUCCAGGCUGCUACAACGUGCAGGCAGUGGGUUUGUGGAUAUCUGCAGCCUCUGUACUCAGAUUUUACUUACAGAAAAUGAGAGUUGUCCUGCUCCAAGUGUCCUUCCUGCUUUUGCUGUGCUCCUGUUAGGAGCUGUAACCUUGUCCUUCCCCACAGCCAUAUUCCAAAGCCAGGGGUUGUUUACAUUGUCAUGAAGGACCUAAAAAACCCCAAAUCCUCAAUAAAGAUGCCACCUCCAGUAAG